UAACGCAGAGGUUAGCAUGUCCGCCUGUGACGCUGAAAGCCUGGGUUCAAAUCCCAG
rnacentral:tRNA from 1 species